rnacentral:misc_RNA from 1 species
GCUCGCUGAGCAAGCCGAACGCUAUGACGAAAUGGUGGAUACCAUGAAGAAAGUAGCUAAACUCGAUGUAGAAUUGACAGUAGAGGAAAGAAACCUACUCUCUGUGGGGUACAAGAACGUGAUAAGUGCGCGUAGAGCGUCAUGGAGGAUCUUAUCAUCGAUUGAACAAAAGGUGGAAGCUAAGGGAAAUGACCAAAAUGUGAAGCGGAUCAAAGGGUAUAGACAGAAGGUUGAAUCGGAGCUUUCAAGUAUUUGCACUGAUAUAAUGACUCUGAUUGAUGAGCAUAUCGUCCCUUCGUCUUCUGGUGCAGAAUCCACCGUGUUUUAUUAUAAGAUGAAAGGA